CACAAAAUGAAUCCCCUUAUGCUUGGAAAUAAGCAACCAAUGCGUGGACGAUGAAAAAGAAAGUUAAAUGGCUUCGAGGAAGGAUGUAGAUUGCAGCUUCUGCAAAUAUGUAAUCGCGCGCAGGGGCGUCGAGUCGAGGAUGGCAGCGGGGAGUCUGUGCUUCACUGACCGGCGGAUCAUGAUCCAGAACAGAAUAAAUUCAACAAUUCAUUUCACCGGCAUUUAUGGAUGUUUUUUGCUCAUGCUUCCAUUAUCUCUUUAUUUGGCUCUUCCACCCACCACUACUACCCUCAGCAUCUACUGCACCUCAGUGACAGUUUUCUUCAUUGUCAUUAAGAUGGUAAAUUAUCACCUCCAUCUGAUGUUUGAUCAGGGCGACAUUAUAGCCCAGAAUAGUGUGGCUGACAUUAGCAAAUGUGUAGACAAGAAAAGCAAUGCAUCUAAUUCCUGUCUUCCAUUGGUCAGAGUGAUGAAAGAUCUAUGCCAGAGGCGGAGGAGCGACUCACCCCUGAGGAUGUGUUCAGUCCCAACACUGACGAGUCUGCCCCACUCCUGCAGGGAGAGCAGAUUCCUUCAGCCCACAGGGAUAAUGCUGAGGAUGAUCAACCACCUUCCCCUGUGA
rnacentral:lncRNA from 1 species